UCGAGUUACAAGACUCCCAAACCCCCUGCGAACCGUACCCCACGCGUUGCCUCGGCGGGGCAGCCCCGGCGCCCCCGCGGCCCCGGACCAAGGCGCCCGCCGGAGGACCCCCAGACUCCCCUGUCGCAGUGGCAUUUCUCUCCGAGUCAAAAAAAAAAGCAAAUGAAUCAAAACUUUCAACAACGGAUCUCUUGGUUCUGGCAUCGAUGAAGAACGCAGCGAAAUGCGAUAAGUAAUGUGAAUUGCAGAAUUCAGUGAAUCAUCGAAUCUUUGAACGCACAUUGCGCCCGCCAGCACUCUGGCGGGCAUGCCUGUCCGAGCGUCAUUUCAACCCUCGAGCCCCCCCCUCCCCGGGCGGGACUCGGCGUUGGGGGUACCCGGCCCCGCGCCGCCCCCGAAAUGCAGUGGCGACCCCGCCGCGACCUCCCCUGCGCAGUAGCUCCCAGAGAACCUCGCACCGGCGGCGCGGAGGCGGUCACGCCGUGAAACACCCUCCACAGUU
rnacentral:misc_RNA from 1 species